rnacentral:piRNA from 1 species
UGUGCUCCUUUGUGCAGUUGAGGAAAAGG